GUUGCCUCCAACAACAGCCCCCCUCCCCCCCCUGCCUUUUGGCUGUGCAGCUACUUGGUUACAUACUGCAGAGGCACAGGGGGACAUAAAAGCCAUUGUCCUGAGCAGCACAAGUGAACAACAGAGAGAGGCCCUGCCUCAGUCUCCCUGAUAAAAACAAGCCCACUGGAAAAGUGAAGGGAAUCUCUGCAAUAAAGGCACACCAGACCACCAUGAUUGGAGACAAUUCAGAAUACGAGGCUGGGUUUUUCUCAGAACUCCCCUGGCAGCGCUGUAAGGAGAGAAAGCAGAACUUCUCACACUCGAGGGUUUGGGGCAACUCCAGAUAAAGUUGCUGUGGACCUCAUGUGCAAGUCCUUGCGUGGACAUAUCCUUUCCUUUCUGUUGGGCAACUAGAUCAUAUGUGGCAAACCUGGUUUAAUAAGCCCCUCUACAUGCUCCUGCUGUGAUGACUGCCUCCCCCCAGGCCCAAAAACAACAGGGCCAACUGACCAUGGACCUGAAUCUCUGGACUGUGAACCAAAACAAACCUUUUGUCUUUAUAAGUUUAUUUUCUCAGAGCAGCAGCAUGCUCCAGGUGGUGAGCCAAUAGCAAUGACCUCACUGAGCAGGAAGCAAAACAUCAUACAGGGAUAACAUCACAGUGAAGGAAGAAAAGGAAGAGAAGUGUAGGGCCCUUCUGUCUGCAUACAAGGACUGGAAGACACAAGGAGAGGAAAGGGUAGGGCAGUAAGUUAGUAUCUGUGUUAUCUGAUUUCCACUUUCCUUGGUAGAGCUUGUGCUACUUCCAAAGCUUUUGGCAGCAUGUAAAAAACUACCAUUUGAUUUAAGUUAAUGAAAACAAUUCUAGAAUAUUCCAGUUUAGUUUUUCCUUUUGGUUAUUACUGUGCUGCCUAUAAGAGAGGUGACAACUCUCAGAAUACUGGGGGCAAUGGGAGAGAAAAAGAAUCAUUCUGAUUUCUGUUGUUUUUUCUUCUCACCUCAAUCUUUACCCCAUGCAGCAUGAUGGAUACAUUUCCCACUGCACCCCGUUAUCAGAUUACAGUAGUGUCACACAUGAGGGAUUACUGCGGUUCUCUUCUGUGACAGUUGAGUGAUUGUGUCAACUUGAGAAGUCGGUUAAGCAAAGCUUGGCUAAAUGGGCUCAACAAUUCCACACCCUGGGGCAUGGAGGACUCACCCUAGGGUCCCUGGGGCCCGGAUGCUACAAAGGGGAAAUGAGGAAGGAGGCUCUGCCUCUGUUCCUUCCGAGGAGCUCCAGACUUUGCCUUGGACGUCAUCUCCUGGCUUCCAGCGCAGACUCUCCAGGUUCCGGAACAAAUCCUUCAGCUUCUGGUGCAGACUCUUCAGCCUUCCAUCCCAGACCCAUCGGCCUCGUGGUACGGGCUCGCACGGGGCACUGCAGUGAGCUCCAGGCCUUCAACUGAAUCCUAGACUCCAGUGUGCAGACAGACCCUCUGCACCCUUCCUCAUUGACUCUGUGGGCGCCAUUGUGGGCCAGUCUUGUGAAUUCAUAUACAUUUGUGCAUCUUGUGUGGUGUCUGUCCCUCGAGUACAUAUGACUGAUACGUCUUCCCAUGAGAGACAUUAUGGUUUAUCUCACCAAGUACUCAUUAAGUGAUUUUCUUUGGUAGCCUCUGUCUGAACACUAUCAUGUCAUUUCUGUAGCUCUGAGCUUAUGUUCUCCAGGAAAGCAGACAUGAGCCAUAUGUAGCCCUUUAAUUUUAAAUUGAAUAAAAUUGUAUUAAGAAUUUGUUUUCUCAGUUGCACUAGGUACAUUUCAAGUGCUCAUAUGUGGCUGUGUGGGCACAGAUAAAGUGUAUCUCAUGGGCACAGGCAAUCUUGGU
ensembl:lncRNA